AUUGAUACCUGGCAGGGGAGAUACCAUGAUCACGAAGGUGUUUUCCCAGGGCAAGGAUUAUCCACUGCACUUUGGAUAUGCUUACCCUGGCCAUUUCCCCAAAUGUGGGAAACUUGACUGCAUAAUUCGUGGUACUAGGGGACUGUGUUUGUGUUCUCCCCUA